GGAAAAUCCGUCGACUUUUAAAAUCGUGAGGGUUCAAGUCCCUCUAUCCC
rnacentral:tRNA from 1 species